GACGAACCGUGCGAACGUUAUUCGGAAUCACUGGGCUUAAAGCGCGUGUAGGCGGGACGGCACGUCGGUCGCUGAAAUCCCCCGGCUCAACCGGGGAACGGGCGCCGAUACGACCGCCCUGGAGGGGCGUAGGGGGACCUGGAACUUCCGGUGGAGCGGUGAAAUGCGUUGAGAUCGGAAGGAACGCCCGUGGCGAAAGCGAGGUCCUGGACGCCUGCUGACGCUGAGACGCGAAAGCCAGGGGAGCGAACAGG
rnacentral:rRNA from 1 species